rnacentral:rRNA from 1 species
UGGGGAAUUGUUCGCAAUGGGCGCAAGCCUGACGACGCAACGCCGCGUGGAGGAUGAAGGUCUUCGGAUUGUAAACUCCUGUUGCUCGGGACGAAUGGCCACGACCUAACACGUCGUGGUGUGACGGUACCGGGUGAGGAAGCCCCGGCUAACUCUGUGCCAGCAGCCGCGGUAAUACAGAGGGGGCAAGCGUUGUUCGGAAUUACUGGGCGUAAAGGGCGCGUAGGCGGCCCGCUAAGUCGAACGUGAAAUCCCUGGGCUCAACCCAGGAACUGCGUCCGAUACUGGCAGGCUUGAAUCCGGGAGAGGGAUGUGGAAUUCCAGGUGUAGCGGUGAAAUGCGUAGAUAUCUGGAGGAACACCGGUGGCGAAGGCGGCAUCCUGGACCGGUAUUGACGCUGAUGCGCGAAAGCCAGGGGAGCAAACGG